UCCUGGCUCAGAUUGAACGCUGGCGGCAUGCCUUACACAUGCAAGUCGAACGGCAGCACGGGAGCAAUCCUGGUGGCGAGUGGCGAACGGGUGAGUAAUAUAUCGGAACGUGCCCAGUCGUGGGGGAUAACGUAGCGAAAGCUACGCUAAUACCGCAUACGAUCUAUGGAUGAAAGCGGGGGAUCGCAAGACCUCGCGCGAUUGGAGCGGCCGAUAUCAGAUUAGGUAGUUGGUGGGGUAAAAGCCUACCAAGCCUUCGAUCUGUAGCUGGUCUGAGAGGACGACCAGCCACACUGGAACUGAGACACGGUCCAGACUCCUACGGGAGGCAGCAGUGGGGAAUUUUGGACAAUGGGCGCAAGCCUGAUCCAGCAAUGCCGCGUGCAGGAUGAAGGCCUUCGGGUUGUAAACUGCUUUUGUACGGAACGAAACGGCUCUUUCUAAUAAAGGGAGCUAAUGACGGUACCGUAAGAAUAAGCACCGGCUAACUACGUG
rnacentral:rRNA from 1 species